GCCUAUAGGUAGAACAAUAAUUCUCAAAAUGUGUCUACUGGAUCUGUUUUUCAGAUGGUGUUGUUCUGGCUGGUUUUCUUGGUGUUGUGAAGCUAAAAUCCCAGAAGAAGGAAAUGAUGCAGACUCAAAUGUUGUUGUUUCUCAGCAAGAGAUACUGCACUGAAUGCACAAUCAUCUGGGAACAAAAAGUUGUUGAUCAUCUCUCUCUCUCUCCACUUUAGUCUUGGAUUGUGGGCUUUUCAAAUUAAUUUACAGUCAAGGAGGUAACUGUUUUCAUUCUCAUUGAAGAUGUCUGAUAAGAUUUAGAAAAACUUCAUGCUAAAAAGCCUGGGAGCAUGCACACAGCCCUGCUUCACUCCUCUGGUGACUGGGAAAGUGUGAGAGCAUAAUCCAGAAACUGCAAGCGUGCCAUCAUAGAUCUCGCACACACACUAAUGGACUUCUUCAGGCAACCAGCCCAGAUUCUUACUAGCUAUUGACUCUAGAUAAGGAGAAAAAUGGUGAAGCUUCUCACUCAAAAUCACACUGGCAGUAACCAAGAAAGUCAACAUUUGAAUCCAGAUCUUCUGACUCCUACGAAGACCAGAUGUACUACACUGCAAAGGUCACAGCUGAAAAACCAGCAGAAGAGGAUGUACUCAGUUCUCAGGCUGAAGAUGCGAAACAGACCCAUGUGAAAGUGAAUUCUGAAGGCCCACAAAAAUUCUUCCUGCCAAGUCAUACUUUUGGUCGGACCAGGGGGCUAACGGCCUGCAGUUGUUUCUGCCAAAGUCGUUGUGGUUAUGCUGAAAGCAGAUGGGGUUCGUGUGGCAACAAACUGCUGUGCUGCAGAUGCAGAUGACUACCAGCAGCUGACAGCAGGUGUCUGCGCAUUAACACCCAACGUUUCCCUACCUUCUACGUGCCAUUAAAACACUGACCUUGUUAGUAUCAAGAUCUGUGUCUGUGAUGUAAUUGUACAGGCAGCUUCUCAAGUUAAACAUAUGCUCUUGAAGGAGAGGAAAGGGAAAGGGAAGGGAGGGGAGGGGCAGGAAAGGAAGGCUGCUUGACUUCAUGUUUGACCCUCUUGGAAGUAUUUUUGUUUUGUUUUGUUUUUCUGGGCACGUAUCAGUGCCUUCCUUGUACUUAAAAAAUAAAAUAAAAUGAAAUUGCUGACA
rnacentral:lncRNA from 1 species